rnacentral:rRNA from 1 species
GAGUGGCGGACGGGUGAGUAACGCGUGGGUAACCUGCCUCAUACAGGGGGAUAACAGUUAGAAAUGACUGCUAAUACCGCAUAAGACCACAGCACCGCAUGGUGCAGGGGUAAAAACUCCGGUGGUAUGAGAUGGACCCGCGUCUGAUUAGGUAGUUGGUGGGGUAACGGCCUACCAAGCCGACGAUCAGUAGCCGACCUGAGAGGGUGACCGGCCACAUUGGGACUGAGACACGGCCCAAACUCCUACGGGAGGCAGCAGUGGGGAAUAUUGCACAAUGGGGGAAACCCUGAUGCAGCGACGCCGCGUGAGCGAUGAAGUAUUUCGGUAUGUAAAGCUCUAUCAGCAGGGAAGAAAAUGACGGUACCUGACUAAGAAGCACCGGCUAAAUACGUGCCAGCAGCCGCGGUAAUACGUAUGGUGCAAGCGUUAUCCGGAUUUACUGGGUGUAAAGGGAGCGUAGACGGAGUGGCAAGUCUGAUGUGAAAACCCGGGGCUCAACCCCGGGACUGCAUUGGAAACUGUCAAUCUAGAGUACCGGAGAGGUAAGCGGAAUUCCUAGUGUAGCGGUGAAAUGCGUAGAU